rfam:Providencia rettgeri DSM 1131 genomic scaffold Scfld7, whole genome shotgun sequence.
GAAAGACGCGCAAUUUGUUAUCAUCCCUAAUUCUCUAAGAGAUUUUUUUUGGCCACCUAGAGUGGCCAUUU